AAACCGUGAUGGGAGCAUAGCCCGAGCAUCCCUUUAAACCUAUCCCAAGCUUCAUACAAAGAUUCAGUCUCAUUUUGUUGGAAGCUGGCAAUCAAAUUCUUCAUGUGC